UACGAAGGGGGCUAGCGUUGCUCGGAAUCACUGGGCGUAAAGCGCACGUAGGCGGCUUCUUAAGUCAGGGGUGAAAUCCUGGAGCUCAACUCCAGAACUGCCCUUGAUACUGAGGAGCUCGAGUCCGGGAGAGGUGAGUGGAACUCCGAGUGUAGAGGUGAAAUUCGUAGAUAUUCGGAAGAACACCAGUGGCGAAGGCGGCUCACUGGCCCGGUACUGACGCUGAGGUGCGAAAGCGUGGGGAGCAAACAGG
rnacentral:rRNA from 1 species